AAGUCGUAACAAGGUAGCCGUAGCGGAAGCUGCGGCUGGAUCACCUCCUUUCUAAGGAUAAUUGGCCUCGUGCCUAUUAACCUAGGUCGAUAUCCGACUUAAAACGGAUACUUCUCUUUUCUUUCCGCUAUCCAGGGGUUAAGGUGUUAGUGUUAUAAGGGGAUAAAAAUUACUUUCUCCUGAUUGCUAACCUGUAUCUAUCCCGCUUUGAAACUCAUGUAGGUUUUGUUAGGCAUUUUGGGCUGAAGGACUUGCGCUAAGCGUCCUGUUUGCUAUAUUAUAUUGACGUUUUUCGGGUAGUAUUUCGAAGAUACCCAAUCUGUCUGUUGUUAUCAAUCGGGCCAUUAGCUCAGCUGGUUAGAGCGCAGUCCUGAUAAGACUGAGGUCCUUGGUUCGAGACCAAGAUGGCCCACCAUAAAGCUAAAACUUAGCAUAAUCAAACGAAUAAAAAUACCUGCUGAUUAACCGGUUUUUCGCGAGAGAACCGGUUUUUUUAUAAAGAAGCAGGAAGAUAAUGUCUAUUAUUUCAUUUUAGGUGAAUAACCUGCGCUGCAAAUUGGUAUAGUUUAGUAUUCACCGGGUUAUUGGGCGGGCAAAAAAAUCUUUGUGAAAUGAAAAUAUUUACUUUAAAAAGACUGAUUGCCGGAGGUAAUAUAACAGUAUGAUAAGUAAUGAAGGUUCAGAAAAAGUAUUAUCUCCGGAAGAACAGGCUAAAUUACUUGGCCUGCUUAAAGGGCGUUUUGAGCAAAAUAUACACCGCCACGAGGGCAUUGUUUGGGCUAAGGUGCAAGAAAAGCUUAAGGCAGAUACCCUUAAAUUGUGGUCAUUG
rnacentral:misc_RNA from 1 species